GCCAGACUCCUACGGGAGGCAGCAGUGGGGAAUAUUGGACAAUGGGGGGAACCCUGAUCCAGCGACGCCGCGUGAGUGAAGAAGUAUUUCGGUAUGUAAAGCUCCAUCAGCAGGGAAGAAAGAAAUGACGGUACCUGACUAAGAAGCCCCGGCUAACUACGUGCCAGCAGCCGCGGUAAUACGUAGGGGGCAAGCGUUAUCCGGAUUUACUGGGUGUAAAGGGAGCGUAGACGGCAUGGCAAGUCAGAUGUGAAAGCCCGGGGCUCAACCCCGGGACUGCAUUUGAAACUGUCAGGCUGGAGUGCAGGAGAGGUAAGUGGAAUUCCUAGUGUAGCGGUGAAAUGCGUAGAUAUUAGGAGGAACACCAGUGGCGAAGGCGGCUUACUGGACUGUAACUGACGUUGAGGCUCGAAAGCGUGGGGAGCAAACAGGAUUAGAUACCCCUGUA
rnacentral:rRNA from 1 species